CCUGUCUAGCGCGGUGUGGAUUGUGGAGGAUGCAUUGCUGCCCCCAAUUGGGGGACCCUUUGCUUCUCUGAAAUGGAUUGGCGUUACGGCUGUGGUCACGAAACCUGUUGUCGGUAUGAUACUUGCGUCUUACCUCCUUCUAACCCGUGCCAGCCCGGCCAGACAAGACAAAUAAAAUACCAUUUGACCUCAAAUCAGGCAGGACUACCCGCUGAACUUAA
rnacentral:misc_RNA from 1 species